AUGUUAGUCGAUGCAUAUCUGCAUAUGUGGGUUGCGAAGAACUUAUGGGAUGCACUGAAAGCUAAGUGCGGUGCAACUAAUGCUAGAAGUGAGAUGUAUGCUAUGGAGCAGUUCCAUGAUUAUGAUUACAUGAUGGUUGAUAGUCGUACUGUACUGGACCAGGCUCAUGUGAUACAGUGGAUCGCUAAGGAGCUCGUGCUCUGUAAGUGCGAAUUACCGAACAAGUUUGUCAUGGGAUGCAUAAUUGCUAAACCCCCUCCUUCUCAAAGGAACUUUGCUACUUCUCUCAAGCACUUGAGACAUGAAUUCUCAGUUGAGGCGUCAUCGGUCAUGUGA
rnacentral:rRNA from 1 species